rnacentral:lncRNA from 1 species
GCCACCUAGGUUUACCUUUAAUGAUUUCUAAUUUUUGAUCACUUCUAUUCAAAGCCAUCUUAUGAGUCAGUCCCAAUCCAUAGCCUUUAGUAACGGCUAGCUCCAUUGUCGUCACCAUAGCUACACAUUCAGCAUGAUAACUUGAAUCUAAUCCCAGGUUCUGACAAGCCACCAUCACAAAAUCACUACAAUGAUUUCUGAAAACAAUGCCAAUCCAUGCACCAGUUGAAGAAGUAGCACCAUCUGUGUUUGCCUUCAAAACCUGGUACAAGGGGGGAACCCAUUGACACUCUCUGACAGAAAACUGUGCUCCAAACCUUGGCUCCACAUUCCAUUCCCCAAGAAUAUCCAGCUCAAGUGCAUUAUUGUAGUUAACUUAGCCGACAAUAUCACAUGCUUGGAGAUAAUCUUAGUACAUAGCCCAAGACUAACUCUAGCAUUAUUUAACGCCAUAUCAUUUCUUAGUUGCCAAAUAGAAGCCAUACCACUCACCACAACAACUUUCCACAUAAGUUUGAUCAAUGGACUCCAUGAAUUAUUGAGAUGCAUUGCUUCCCCUAAAUUAUGCAAGCCACCAUUCAAUCGAAACUUUCAUCUUGCCCACUGCCACACUCUCUGAGAGAGAGGACAUAACCAUAUCACAUUAUCAAGUGAAUCUGGGCCAUUAAAACAAAAUCUGCAGCAAGACGCCAACUUCACACCGACGGUCUGAGAUCUAGUUUUGGAUGCUACGACAUUUCUUACUAAUUUCC